rnacentral:lncRNA from 1 species
CGCGCCACUGCACUCCAGCCUGGGUGACAGAGUGAGACUCCAUCUCAAAAAAAUAAUAAUAGCCUCAAAGCCUAAGUGUACUAUGCUUAAUUUAUAAAUUAAACUUUAUCAUAGGUACCUGUGAAUAGCAACGAACAGAACAUAUAGGGUUCUGCACUACCUGCAGUGCCAGGCAUCCACGGGGGACCUUGGACCACAUUCCCUGAGGAUAUGGAGCAAUUACUGUUAACAGACGACACCCGUAUGCAGCUUAAUGUGUGGCAGGCUCACUGUGAGCACUGAUACUAUUAAUUUAUUUAACCAGCAAACUACCUAUAAAUAUUCUGUCAAUACUCUUCCAAUUUUACAGAUGGGGUAACUGAGGCCCAAAGACGCUGACUUGUCCAGAGGUUCAGCUGGAAUCUCCACCUGGAUGUGAGGCCCAGGAAAACCUGCAGGUCCCCAGGACGGGUGGAAGAGGGACGUUCCCCACAAUGGCAGUGGCUUUGUUUCCAUUUCGGAGGCCAGACCACAGAGCCACAGGAGUACCCAGCCCUCCAUCCACACUGCCUGCCUCCACCAAGGGGCCCUUGGAUGGGGGCUUCCCCAGCCAGAAGGGCAGGCAGAAACAAACUAGCCCCAUCUAGGCCCAACUCUGCCUCUGACACCACCAAAUGCAGUGGAGAAAGGUGUGUGGGAGCUGCAGAGACCAUCCAAGGCUUCCCCUCAGCCAGCACUGGCCACCCACACAGUUUCUGUCCUGGGUGGACCCGGAUUGGCUCCUUGCCUCCAAGUCCGACUGGGAACAAGCUGAGGAAGACACAAACUCCAGGCUAAGUCUUGACUCCCACCACCCGGCUUUGCGAGAGAACCCCCGGGUUUGGACCUCCUGCCCAAGCACAUCCCUGCUGAAGAGGAACCCGGCUCAAGGUCACCUUGGGGGACAGACCUUGCCUGGCCAUGCAGUCUCUCCAGGCAGGAGAACUGCAACAUUUUGGAGCAAAGACAGGCCCGGGGCCCAGAGAUUCGGAUUCAGCAGGCCUGGGAUGGGGCCCAAGGAGUCUGUCUCUUGAACAGAGCUUCUAUCCUGGAUGGUUCUGUAAACCCCAGGUGAGGACUCCACACUCAGGGGCAUCGACGGUCCCAGGACACUGAGCCUGCCGAGUGCCCCACCACAAGCCCUGGCCAGGCCACCCGCCAGCCCACACGCAGAGCUGUGGCCGG